AUUGAACGCUGGCGGCAGGCCUAACACAUGCAAGUCGAGCGGAAACGAGUUAUCUGAACCUUCGGGGAACGAUAACGGCGUCGAGCGGCGGACGGGUGAGUAAUGCCUGGGAAAUUGCCCUGAUGUGGGGAUAACCAUUGGAAACGAUGGCUAAUACCGCAUAAUAGCUUCGGCUCAAAGAGGGGGGACCUUCGGGCCUCUCGCGUCAGGAUAUGCCCAGGUGGGAUUAGCUAGUUGGUGAGGUAAUGGCUCACCAAGGCGACGAUCCCUAGCUGGUCUGAGAGGAUGAUCAGCCACACUGGAACUGAGACACGGUCCAGACUCCUACGGGAGGCAGCAGUGGGGAAUAUUGCACAAUGGGCGCAAGCCUGAUGCAGCCAUGCCGCGUGUAUGAAGAAGGCCUUCGGGUUGUAAAGUACUUUCAGCAGUGAGGAAGGUGGUAGUGUUAAUAGCACUAUCAUUUUGACGUUUAGCGC
rnacentral:rRNA from 1 species